CCUCCGUCUCUGUUGAAACAGGUCAUCAGGCUAGGCUCUCCUCCGUCUCUGUUGAAACAGGUCAUCAGGCUAGGCUCUCCUCCGUCUCUGUUGAAACAGGUCAUCAGGCUCUCCUCCGUCUCUGUUGAAACAGGUCAUCAGGCUAGGCUCUCC